UACGUAGGGUGCGAACGUUAAUCGGAAUCACUGGGCGUAAAGCGCGCGUAGGCGGUUUGUUAAGUGGGAUGUGAAAUCCCCGGGCUUAACCUGGGAAUUGCAUUUCAAACUGGCCGACUAGAGUACGGUAGAGGGAGGUAGAAUUUCCUGUGUAGCGGUGAAAUGCGUAGAUAUAGGAAGGAAUACCAGUGGCGAAGGCGGCCUCCUGGAUCGAUACUGACGCUGAGGCGCGAAAGCGUGGGAGCAAACAGG
rnacentral:rRNA from 1 species